CUUAGAACUAGUGAGAGCAACUUGAAGAGAACAAGAGCAAGAGAGAAACGGCCAUGGCAGCAAGCGAAAGAGUGCAACGAGCAGCCACUAACUUUUCAGCCACGUUGAGAGCUCUCAAAGUCAAUUUUCAGCAAGUUUGGGGAAGUUGUUUGUUAAGGUUGAAGGAGAAACCAAACAAGCUGGACUAUAAUCGAGCUACUAUAGGU